GUAGGUGGCAAGCGUUGUCCGGAAUUAUUGGGCGUAAAGCGCGCGCAGGCGGUCCUUUAAGUCUGAUGUGAAAGCCCACGGCUCAACCGUGGAGGGUCAUUGGAAACUGGGGGACUUGAGUACAGAAGAGGAAAGCGGAAUUCCAAGUGUAGCAGUGAAAUGCGUAGAGAUUUGGAGGAACACCAGUGGCGAAGGCGGCUUUCUGGUCUGUAACUGACGCUGAGGCGCGAAAGCGUGGGGAGCAAACAGGGAUUAGAUACCCUGGUAGUCCACGCCGUAAACGAUGAGUGCUAAGUGUUAGGGGGUUUCCCGCCCCUUAGUGCUGCAGCUAACGCAUUAAGCACUCCGCCUGGGGAGUACGGCCGCAAGGCUG
rnacentral:rRNA from 1 species